UGGGAAUAAGCCGAAAAUCCUGAAUAGAGUAGGCA
rfam:Pedobacter ginsenosidimutans strain KACC 14530 contig06, whole genome shotgun sequence.